rnacentral:lncRNA from 1 species
GUGGUCGUUGUUUUUGUCAGUUUUGGGGAAAAUGAGCUGUCUUCUCACUCAAAUUGGAACUGUUGGCUAUAGAGAUAAAGUAAUCCUGGAGAUUUGGGAGGGUCAUCUGUUGUAGAGAAUGACACCAACCAGAAGCAGAAUGAGGAAAGUUGGAGACUGAGUACUGUUGCCAUGAUUUGAACCCUUCGAUCUAGCCAUGCCUGAAGAUUUCUCACUGUCUCGUCUUUUCAGUUACAGAAGCCUCAACUUGGCUUCUCACACUUGCAAAAAGGAGUCCUAGCUGAUACAGGGGUACAGGCCCCUAACCCAGUCCUCCCAUCAAGAGAUGGAGUUUAUUUCCCCUGUCCUUGAAUUCAUGCUGACCUUAUGGAUUGCUUUGGCUGAUGGAAUGGAGGUAAAAGUGACACUGAGCCAGUUCCGAGGCCAGGAUUCACACUUCUACGCAUUCUCUGGGAACUCUGCCACCACCAAGGGAACAAGCCUAGGCUAGCCCGCUAGAUACAGAGAGAUUCAUGACUCAGUCACUGCCAUCGCUGCAGCCAAAAGCCAGCCAAUCACCAAACAUAUGAGUGAAGCCAUCCAAGACCAGCCAGCCCCCAGCCAACCUGCCAGCUGGCAAGAGAGGCGUGAGCCAGCCAUGCCAUAAACAGCCUAGUCUAGCCCAGACCAGAAGAAACCACAAUUGUUCCAUAGAUGACCUGUGAGGAAUAAGAACUGUUUGCUUUAAUAA